AUUGAACGCUGGCGGCAGGCUUAACACAUGCAAGUCGAGCGGAGAUGAGGUGCUUGCACCUUAUCUUAGCGGCGGACGGGUGAGUAAUGCUUAGGAAUCUGCCAUUUAGUGGGGGACAACAUUCCGAAAGGAAUGCUAAUACCGCAUACGUCCUACGGGAGAAAGCAGGGGAUCUUCGGACCUUGCGCUAAAUGAUGAGCCUAAGUCGGAUUAGCUAGUUGGUGGGGUAAAGGCCUACCAAGGCGACGAUCUGUAGCGGGUCUGAGAGGAUGAUCCGCCACACUGGGGCUGAGACACGGCCCAGACUCCUACGGGAGGCAGCAGUGGGGAAUAUUUGACAAUGGGCGGAAGCCUGAUCCAGCCAUGCCGCGUGUGUGAAGAAGGCCUUUUGGUUGUAAAGCACUUUAAGCGAGGAGGAGGCUACUAGUACUAAUACUACUGGAUAGUGGACGUUACUCGCAGAAUAAGCACCGGCUAACUCUGUGCCAGCCGCCGCAGUAACAC
rnacentral:rRNA from 1 species